AACGAACGCUGGCGGCGCGCUUAACACAUGCAAGUCGAACGAGAAGGCGUAGCAAUACGCUUGUACAGUGGCGAACGGGUGAAGAAUACAUGGGUGACCUACCCUCGAGUGGGGAAUAACCCGCCGAAAGGCGGGCUAAUGCCGCGUACGCUUCUAUGUUUACGAACGUGGAAGGAAAGCUGUACCGUGGGUACGGCGCUCAAGGAUGGGCUCAUGUCCUAUCAGCUUGUUGGUAGGGAACGGCCUACCAAGGCAACGACGGGUAGCUGGUCUGAGAGGACGAUCAGCCACACUGGCACUGCGACACGGGCCAGACUCCUACGGGAGGCAGCAGUGAGGAAUAUUGCGCAAUGGGCGAAAGCCUGACGCAGCGACGCCGCGUGGGGGA
rnacentral:rRNA from 1 species